CCUACGGGUGGCAGCAGUGAGGAAUAUUGGUCAAUGGCCGUAAGGCUGAACCAGCCAAGCCGCGUGAAGGAAGAAGGAUCUAUGGUUUGUAAACUUCUUUUAUAGGGGAAUAAAGGUAUCCACGUGUGGAUAUUUGCAUGUACCCUAUGAAUAAGCAUCGGCUAACUCCGUGCCAGCAGCCGCGGUAAUACGGAGGAUGCGAGCGUUAUCCGGAUUUAUUGGGGUUAAAGGGGGCGUAGGUUGUUUUUUAAGUCAGCGGUGAAAGUUUGUGGCUCAACCAGAAAAUUGCAGUUGAAACUGGAAGACGAGAGUGUGUGUGAGGUAGGUGGAAUGCGAGGUGUAGCGGUGAAAUGCAUAGAUAUCACGCAGAACUCCGAUUGCGAAGGCAGCUUACUAGGCCAUAACUGACACUGAGGCACGAAAGCGUGGGGAGCAAACAGGAUUAGAUACCCUGGUAGUC
rnacentral:rRNA from 1 species